rnacentral:tRNA from 1 species
UGGGGAGUAGCCAAGCGGUAAGGCAUCUGCCUCUGAAGCAGACAUUCGUAGGUUCGAUCCCUACCUCCCCAG